rnacentral:rRNA from 1 species
AUGCAACGCGAAGAACCUUACCUGGUCUUGACAUCCCGGAGACCCUUAGGAAACUAGGGGUGCUUCCAUCUGGAAGAAUCUGGAGACAGGUGCUGCAUGGCUGUCGUCAGCUCGUGUCGUGAGAUGUUGGGUUAAGUCCCGCAACGAGCGCAACCCUUGCCUUUAGUUGCCAGCAGUUCGGCUGGGCACUCUAAAGGGACUGCCGGUGUUAAACCGGAGGAAGGUGGGGAUGACGUCAAGUCCUCAUGGCCUUUAUGACCAGGGCUACACACGUACUACAAUGGCCGAUACAAAGGGCAGCGACACUGCGAGGUGAAGCCAAUCCCGUAAAAUCGGUCUCAGUCCGGAUUGGAGUCUGCAACUCGACUCCAUGAAGUUGGAAUCGCUAGUAAUCGUGGGUCAGCAUGCCACGGUGAAUACGUUCCCGGGCCUU